rnacentral:rRNA from 1 species
UACGUAGGGGGCUAGCGUUGUCCGGAAUCAUUGGGGGUAAAGAGCGUGUAGGCGGCCCGGUAAGUCCGCUGUGAAAGUCGGGGGCUCAACCCUCGAAUGCCGGUGGAUACUGUCGGGCUAGAGUGCGGAAGAGGCGAGUGGAAUUCCUGGUGUAGCGGUGAAAUGCGCAGAUAUCAGGAGGAACACCGAUUGCGAAGGCAGCUCGGUGGGACGUCACUGACGCUGAGACGCGAAAGCGUGGGGAGCAAACAGG